rnacentral:rRNA from 1 species
UAAGUAUGGUUCAAGCUUUAAUCGGAAUUACUGGGCGUAAAGCGCGCGUAGGUGGUUUGUUAAGUUGGAUGUGAAAGCCCCGGGCUCAACCUGGGAACUGCAUCCAAAACUGGCAAGCUAGAGUAUGGCAGAGGGUGGUGGAAUUUCCUGUGUAGCGGUGAAAUGCGUAGAUAUAGGAAGGAACACCAGUGGCGAAGGCGACCACCUGGGCUAAUACUGAAACUGAGGUGCGAAAGCGUGGGGAGAAAACAGGAUUAGAUACCCCCGUAGUCC